rnacentral:rRNA from 1 species
UACGUAGGCAGCGAGCGUUGUUCGGAAUUACUGGGCGUAAAGAGUGUGUAGGCGGUGCUCCCAGUCUGUUGUGAAAUCUCCCGGCUUAACUGGGAGGGUGCAGCGGAAACUAGAGUGCUAGAGGGUGGGAGAGGUAAGCGGAAUUCCUGGUGUAGCAGUGAAAUGCGUAGAGAUGUGGAGGAACACCGAUGGCGAAGGCAGCCCCCUGGGCCAAUACUGACGCUCAUGCACGAAAGCGUGGGGAGCAAACAGG